UUAGCUUCUUUAGAUAGUGUUUGUAAUCAUCGCUGAUGGGUACAAGCACAACAAACAGUGUUUGUAUCUAUGAGGCUAGAGUUAGUUUGCGCGAGCAAUUGCCACAUAGAUGAAAAUCUGAGUGGUAAUUGCGGAAAGUAUUUAUUUCUUUCUUCAAUUGAAGUUAGACCCCAUUCAGAUGGAUAAA
rnacentral:ncRNA from 1 species